CCAAACCCAAAAUCUGCUGCUCUUCACACCCUCCACUUCACUGCUGGUCUGCAGGCACUUUUCCCACGAGAAGGAAGGAAAUGACCCUGGAAUGUCCUGGCAGCUGCCACCCCUGGGACUCCCUCUCCCAAAACAUCCCAGCCCUCUGACCAAGGGAUGAUGGACAUCCUGCACCUGAAUUUGGCCACUUUGAGCAUUUUUUUCCUCCUCUCCCUCCCAGUCCAUGGGUCCAGUGGCUACAGCAGCUACCAUAGAAACCAAAUUGCUGUUCUGCAGCACAAGGAGCAGAUGUCACACACGGAGCAGCAGCAAUGGGAAUGUGGGGAGGGGGAUAGAUGCAGAAAGAGGAGGAGGAGGCAAAGGAGGAGGAGGAGGAGGAGGAGGAGGGAAAGCAGCAUCACACAUUCAGAAUGAAAUGUUCCCACCAGAGGGAGUGAGUCAUUCCUGAAGUAAAGUGCAAAGCUGCAGGGCUUUUUUCCCUGCCGCUCUCAAUGCACAUCUGCAAACACGGACGUACAAAUCUCCACCCUUUGCUGGAUGCAGGGGGAAUGGAGCAGCACAGGAUGAGGAGCAGGUGCUUGCCUCCCUGAUGCUCUGCUCUCUAAUGAACACCGUGACUGCCUCAUGAUGUAAAUUAAUGCCUGGCCUAUCCCAAGUAUCUCAGACAGAAUUGUGCUGCUAUUUCCAAAAUGCCCUUCAGAGCUUCUUCCCCUCCUCUCUUUCCAGGACAGUGCAGAAAUACAACUUUGUGUGAAGCCAACAUAUAUUAAACAGGAAUUUUAUAUCAAAAAGUAACUCACUUUUUAAGAGCAGCAAGCCAUAAUACAUGAUGAUACAUUAUACAUUUGUAAAUUGUUUGCUAAUUUAAAAUAAAAAAUAAUAACAACCAGUCUGGAGUUGUGUUUGAUUUCCUCUGAUCUUACUAU